rnacentral:tRNA from 1 species
GCCGCCGUAACGUAGCCUGGUAGCGUACAGGCCUGUGGAGCCUGGAGGCCGGGUUCAAAUCCCGGCGGCGGCC